GACGAACGCUGGCGGCGUGCUUAACACAUGCAAGUCGAACGGAAAGGCCCUGCUUGCAGGGUACUCGAGUGGCGAACGGGUGAGUAACACGUGGGUGAUCUGCCCUGCACUUCGGGAUAAGCCUGGGAAACUGGGUCUAAUACCGGAUAGGAGCCAUUUUUAGUGUGAUGGUUGGAAAGUUUUUUCGGUGUAGGAUGAGCUCGCGGCCUAUCAGCUUGUUGGUGGGGUAAUGGCCUACCAAGGCGGCGACGGGUAGCCGGCCUGAGAGGGUGGACGGCCACAUGGGGACUGAGAUACGGCCCAGACUCCUACGGGAGGCAGCAGUGGGGAUUAUUGCACAAUGGGCGCAGGCCUGAUGCAGCGACGCCGCGUGGGGGAUGACGGCCUUCGGGUUGUAAACUCCUUUCGCUAGGGACGAAGCUUUUUGUGACGGUACCUAGAUAAGAAGCACCGGCUAACUACG
rnacentral:rRNA from 1 species